GGCACGUUGUCUUAUAUAUCAUUUUGUCGUGUUAUUAAUGAUAAAAAUUGGUUUUCAAAUUAAAGAGCAAAAGAAAUAAAAAUGUUUACAGACCCACAGGCCUUAGUCAUUGACAAUACCUAUUAGUACAAAAGCUCAUAGUUGAGAAACUUCCUAUAGUAGAACCCAAUAAGAAGGCCCAAGAACCCUAAGCCCAUUUGACUGGCCAAGUUGAAGAAUCAAGCGAUGGGGGAGAGUUAAGCGACGAAGAUUACGUUGAUGGAGAAGUGGAGAGAGGAGGAUCAAUCACGCAUGACGAAACCAUGAUUACAACAUAGAGGAGGCAAGGUUUGGAUUGGAUGAUCUGAAACUCUGGAUCCUGUUUCUGAUUUGGCGAUCAAUUAUACGGAAAAGAGAAUCGAUAGACCUGAAAGAGUUAGUGUGCAGCCUAGAAUUGCGCUCAUUCCAUAACCAGUAGAGGUUGGAUUGCCAAGGCAGUAGUGUGAGUAGACGGUGUGAUCUGUGUGAGUUCUUCAUUUGCUGAAGCGUUUGGUUCCAGCUUCUCAUCGGUUGAAUAGAGCACCUUCUCGCCGUUAGUUCCCAUACGUCAAAGCUGUAGGAGCAGUCAAAGAAGAUGUGGUCACGAGAUUCAUUGUCGUUGUUGCAGAGGAGACAGAUAGGUGAGAAUUGGAGACCCCAAGAUUGGAGUCUAUCCCUCGUCGGACAACAAGCCAAGCAUGGAAUUGUUGUCUAGGAAUUCCAUAGGAGCCCACGAGACCUCAUCCAAAUCGCCUCGCAGGUGGUAGUCGCCAUGCUCCACUGUUGCCUUGUCUGGAAUUCCUAGUCUUGACACAGAGACGUUAAGCACUGAUGCCAAGCUUCCAAACGGGGACCAAUUAUCAUACCAGAACCGAGCCGUGAAGCCAUCUUCUAAGCGGAGCUUAAUCAAUGGAAAGACCACUGAUUUGAGCUUUAGGAGUUUGUUGGCUAACCAAGAGUAGGAGGAGCUUGGUUUUGUGGUCUAGUAAUUAUGUAUCGAGCCGUUGAGAACUUUUUUCUUGAACCAUGCAACCCACACUGAGCCAGCUUUGAAGAAUAGCAGCUAAUUUAGUUUGAUGCAACACGCUAAGUUUCAAGUUUGGAGAUCUCUGAUAUCUAAUCCCCCUUGCUGCUUGGUUUUUGGCAGAAUAAAAGUAGAACAUCAAAAAGUGGUGAUCCCUGAAAUGACCCUCUACUUUAUCCACUUUAUCUGAUCAUACAUAUACGGAUCACUAUGGAAAUCACAUGAUAACAGUAAACAGUGAAUGUAUGAUAUUAAUUCUAGACUGAACUUACAUGACUAAAAAAGAAAAAUCGCCCGCACGCAUAUAUGAAUUGUAUGUGAAUUUAUAUAAUGAGACUGAACUAAUGCAUGCAACCAGAUCUAUAUAUGAAUAGUCACAAGAAUAUAUGAAUUUAUGGAGACCACCUUUUCUUGUUCAA